rnacentral:lncRNA from 1 species
UUCUCAGUCAACUUACCUGGUCAAAUAAGGGUAAAAUAAUGUAAAAAAAAAAGUCCUUCUAUGAUGUUCUCAUUGAUACAGUCUGAUUAUGGCAUAUUGUAGAGUACUAAUGAUUCAGUCCCAAAUUGCACCCUACUCACUGUAUAGAGUGUACUAGUUUUAACCAGGGCCCAUAGGGCUAUGCACCUUACCUUAUUUCACCUAAAUACUACCUCAGAAAAUAGGGGUUCUUAAUUAAUGAUGUCAUUAUUUCUCUUUUCAGGACAGGAUGAGGCAGGACAGAUUGAGGCAGGACAGAUUGAGGCAGGACAGAUUGAGGCAGGACAGAUUGAGGCAGGACAGAUUAAGGCAGGACAGGGUGAGGCAGGACAGGGUGAGGCAGGACAGGUUGAGGCAGGACAGAUUAAGGCAGGGCAGAUUGAGGCAGGACAGAUUGAGGCAGGACAGGGUGAGGCAGGACAGAUUAAGGCAGGACAGAUUAAGGCAGGACAGAUUGAGGCAGGACAGAUUAAGGCAGGACAGGGUGAGGCAGGACAGGGUGAGGCAGGACAGGGUGAGGCAGGACAGAGUGAGACAGGACAGAUUGAGGCAGGACAGAUUGAGGCAGGACAGGUUGAGGCAGGACAGAUUAAGGCAGGACAGGGUAAGGCAGGACAGGGUGAGGCAGGACAGGUUGAGGCAGGACAGGUUGAGGCAGGACAGGGUGAGGCAGGACAGGGUGAGGCAGGACAGAGUGAGACAG